UAUUGGUCAAUGGCCGUAAGGCUGAACCAGCCAAGUCGCGUGAAGGAAGAAGGAUCUAUGGUUUGUAAACUUCUUUUAUAGGGGAAUAAAGGUAUCCACGUGUGGAUAUUUGCAUGUACCCUAUGAAUAAGCAUCGGCUAACUCCGUGCCAGCAGCCGCGGUAAUACGGAGGAUGCGAGCGUUAUCCGGAUUUAUUGGGUUUAAAGGGUGCGCAGGCGGAAUGUCAAGUCAGCGGUAAAAUUUCGGGGCUCAACCCCGUCGUGCCGUUGAAACUGGCGUUCUUGAGUGAGCGAGAAGUAUGCGGAAUGCGUGGUGUAGCGGUGAAAUGCAUAGAUAUCACGCAGAACUCCGAUUGCGAAGGCAGCAUACCGGCGCUCAACUGACGCUCAUGCACGAAAGCGUGGGUAUCG
rnacentral:rRNA from 1 species